ACGAAAGGAGGUAAUUUCAGAAUUAUAUAUCUCUUUAUUGGUAAACUGCAACAGCUGUGUUUGCAGAUCGUUGAAGACGCUGUGAGGGAGUAUGAGUUGCACAACGCUGACAUGGAAAUGUCCGAAGAGUGUGUUCAAACAGAAGCUAUCCAGCCACAGGCACUACACAUCUCCGUUUCUACAGAUAGUGAGACAGCUUUGCCAUCCUGCCCUGUGACAAUGCCUGUUGACCUGAGCUGGCAAGAACAGUUUACGGAGAUGCCUCAGUCCCCACAAGCACCAUCUCCCAUACACAGAUGUGACAAAGGAACUCAGACAGAUUCCAAGAAGAGAAGCACAGGUGUUCAAACUAAGAUGCGCACACAUCAGAAGGGUACGCAGACAUGGUAUAUUCCAUCUGAACCUGCACCCCGUUCUUCAACUCCAGUACAAAUGAAUCACAAGUGUGGAGUGAAAGUGACAGUGAAACAGAGAUACGUGAUCCUCACGGCACUACGUAUGACCCCAACCAAAGCGACCUAAACUUGACGCAGGAUACCUCCCUCUGUGAAAGGUCAUUCAUCGACCACUGUGAUACUGUCAACAGCCACACAGAAAGUAGCAGCGUUACUGAGCACCCUACUAAAGAUGACGGGCACGAAACCAGCGACACUCACCAACACCGAGAGGCAAUGUACAUGGUUUCGGAAACCUGCCUUCUUCAGCUGCUCAAGACUUGCCCAGAAUGUUUGACGACAAAAACUGUGACAGAACUCAACUGCAAGGGCUCGUGCCUACGUGUAACUGUGACAUGCCAAAACAAUCACACAAGGGUUUGGUACAGUCAGCCUUCGCUUGGUGGAAAGCCAGUUGGAAACAUCAUAAUGAGCGCCGCCAUACUUUUUUCGGCAUGUAGCCCUACAAAGGUGUUGCGACUAUUCCACUUCAUGAAUCUUGCCAGCGUAAAGAAGACCCAGUACUUCAGAAUGCAGCAUUGCUACCUUUUUCCCGCAGUCAAGGAGGUAAAGCACAAGUCAUUUUCUAUUUACAGAAAGCAUGAUGGACUCCCUUUAUCUAUUUUUUUAAAAAUUUGCUCUUCCAAGGCAUGGAAGUUGGAGGAAGAAGCCUUGGUGUGCGCCCUCAAGGAAACGCCUCUAACACUUGCAGGCGACGCCAGUCACCAGAGGUAUCCUCCAGCAACCAAAUGGAAAAGGUUGGCCUUGAGCGGGUCUUGGGCUACCUCGAACAACAAGAAAUGACGGUUGACAUGCUGAUCACUGACAGGCAUACUGGGAUUAAAGCACUCAUGAAGACCAAGCCCAUUAAACAUCGAUUUGAUGUGUGGCAUGUAGCUAAAGGCAAGUUUGCGAACAAGGC